AGUGAACGCUGGCGGUAGGCCUAACACAUGCAAGUCGAACGGCAGCACAGUAAGAGCUUGCUCUUACGGGUGGCGAGUGGCGGACGGGUGAGGAAUACAUCGGAAUCUACUUUUUCGUGGGGGAUAACGUAGGGAAAGUUACGCUAAUACCGCAUACGACCUACGGGUGAAAGCAGGGGAUCUUCGGACCUUGCGCGUUUGAAUGAGCCGAUGUCGGAUUAGCUAGUUGGCGGGGUAAAGGCCCACCAAGGCGACGAUCCGUAGCUGGUCUGAGAGGAUGAUCCGCCACACUGGAAGUGAGACACGGCCCAGACUCCUACGGGAGGCAGCAGUGGGGAAUAUUGGACAAUGGGCGCAAGCCUGAUCCAGCCCUACCGCGUGAGUGAAGAAGGCCUUCGGGUUGUAAAGCCCUUUUGUUGGGAAAGAAAAGCAGCAGGUUAAUACCCCGCUGUUCUGACGGUACCCAAAGAAUAAGCACCGGCUAACUUCGUG
rnacentral:rRNA from 1 species